GAUGAGCUUAUCAACAUUGUGAAUGGAUCAGGUGCAGCAAUAAAAUGACAAAUUGUAUGCCUUGCAGACUUCUAAUGCUUAAGAUCGUUCCCACCAUUUUACUGAGUGCAUGUGCAGGCUGGAGAUGGAAACUGGCUUUUCUGCUCUGACCUCCGUCCCAUACAGCCUGAGCAUCUGAGACGUGGGCCAUGUCGUAUACAGUGAGCUGUAGUCACAGGAAGACUAAGAAGCUUGAUGGACUCUCUGCUGCUUGAACUAACAGAACUUACAAUUUCCAGAAAAGGAAACAGGUUCAGAGGAAGUGAGUGUCUGGUUGAGCACUGGCUGCCAUGGCCAGAGACCAAGCCUGAGUACUUACAGGCAUUUCAUGGAGAUGUCCCCUUUCCAAAUGCAGACUCCUCCAGACCCAGCCCGAGUAACACCAUCUUUUAGCCAGCUCCACAUAGCUAUUCUGUGUGUCAUGCCACGGCAUAACAAAGCCAGGCUCCCCAUGGUCAGUGUUUGCUGAGAUCUUCGUACACUCCCAGCCUCCAUUAGGAACAAGGGCUGAGUUCACAUAAGCACUUUCCUGCAGUGUUUUAUCUGAACCUAUAGUCACCUCCACUGCUUAACUGCUGCACACUGCUCUAAAGCCAGGUCUGAAUUAAUUCAGCUGUGUGUGGGCUAAGAACCAUAAUAAAUGGGUGUUUGCAUGGAGGACAAACUUGAGGGCAACAGCCAUCCUCGACUGUCCACUGCUGUUAAGGUCAGUUAUUCAUAGCACACUGGGUUGUUGGUACCAUCCAACAGUUUUGGAAACAGGAUACAACUCACAAAUUUCUAGGGGAAUUUGAAACCUGGAGGAAGAGCUCAGGCUCCCACAGGUACACACAGGCUCCCACAAGCUCCCACACAGGCUCCCACAGGUACACACAGGCUCCCACAGGUACACACAGGCUCCCACACAGGCUCCCACAGGCACACACAGGCUCCCACAGGUACACACAGGCUCCCACAAGCUCCCACACAGGCUCCCACAGGCACACACAGGCUCCCACAGGCACACACAGGCUCCCACAGGCACACACAGGCUCCCACAGGCACACGCAGGCUCCCACAGGCACACACAGGCUCCCACAGGCACACACAGGCUCCCACAGGUACACACAGGCUCCCACAGGCACACAUAGGCUCCCACAGGUACACACAGGCUCAUCAGUCUACCAGGACCUGUGAGCAUCUGUGCUCUCUAUCUAGGAGUUAAACAUGUGGCAUGCUUGCCCUUCCCUCCCAUGGUGGCUUCAAACAGAAACUGGAGGCACGCCCUUCAGCCCCAGCACACACGCCACUGUUGCAGAAACUUCCAGGGCAGCCCACAGGCUGUGCGGAUCUCCUCAUUGCAACUUCACACACAAUUCAGAGGUGCCACCGUGUGCA
rnacentral:lncRNA from 1 species